rnacentral:lncRNA from 1 species
GCGUGCCUUCCUUCCCGGCUUUCGGAGGUACCCCCAAUCCAAUCCCACUCUGUCCUCUCCUUUGCCUCGACGCCAAAGUCCUUAGCACCAGCCCGGCAUGUACACGGUCCGGCGAGGGGCCGAGGGCUCUGCGCUCCAGGGCCUGGGCAGCAGAGAGGAGACCGGGGGUCAGGGGCCAAGGGGACGGAGCCUGAACUCCGGGUCCUCUCUGGGCAUUGCCCCGCGCGUGCCCUUGGCAGUGCAGCUUGGUCACGCUCGCUGAAUACGUUCCAGUCUCUGUCCGGAACGCUCCGGGGACUUUGGUUUGCACCUAGAGCUCCUUUUGUGUUCUCUGGAAGCGCGGCCCCUCUCCCCCUACCCCUCACUCCUUCCUUGAAGCACCUGGUUCCCGGAGCCGACAGCAUCCCCUCUGCCCUGCGCCCCUCUUCCGCAGCUCCGGGCGGAGAACCGACUGUCCGCAGGCCGUGGCAACCCCCUACAUGUCCACCAGAUGGCGCUCCAGGCCAGGGGCCGAGCGGCGGCCGGACAGCCCGCCCCCGGGCUGCAGCCUACCUUGGACCUAGAGCCGCGGCAGGAUCCGCUCCGAGACUGGGCCGCAGGCCCAGGGGGUGGGCGCAGGCCGCUGAGAGAUCGAGGCGCUCCGCGCACCCGAAGGAAACUCCAGACAGAGGAGGCAGACACAAGGAUGGGACUGCCCGAGGCUCGGGAUGGGGUCCUGAGCACUUCCGGAACCGGCUGGCUCCAGCUGCCUCCAGCAUCCUUGUGGGAUGUGGUUCCUCCCCCCAUCCAAGCCGGAUUGCACCUUGGUACAAGCUGCGGCAGAGGCGUAGCUUGAUGGAGGGUAGAUUGGGCAGCCAGCACCGCGGUUUAUUCACUGACUGUGACUUCUUCAAAAGAGACAAGGGGAUACUCAUGGAGGACAUUCAGGGUGUUCAUGAUGAAUCCCCAUUUCACAGCCGAUGACAGUGAGGUUCAGGGAGGUGACGUGACGUGCCCCCAAGCCAUCCAGUAAAUAAAGAAGAGUUCUUUCACA